UGGGAAAACUGCAGCGAGAGAGAACUAGCAAGAACUGGGAAAACUGCAGAGAGAGAGAACUAGCAAGAACUGCCCCCUGCAUUUCUGAGCUCUUCAUUUCAAACGCAGAUUCACUUUGUGUUCCUUAUCUAGAUAGAACAGGGUUUUAUUUUGGCUUUAAUUGAUGAUAGUUUUAAUUAUAUUGAUUUAAAAUCAUUUGCAUUUUGCUUCAUAUUAAGCAGUUAAAAUUGACAAAUGCAUUUACCGGGGUAUUUUCACUUCAGAGUUUUAGAUACUGAGGGUUUCGGGGUGUCAGUCCUGUUCCUAUCACAUCUCAAGAUAAGGGAUGUGAUUCAUUCAAUAGGACACCCUUUAACUCAGUGUUCAGCUGAGGGACGUCAGUGUCACAGCAUUGCAUGUGUGUGAACGGAGUGCCGCGUUUGCUUUCCAGAGAAGCUGCCUGAAGAAGUCGCGGAGCAGGGUCUGGUGACGAAGAGUGUGGACUACGUUCGAGACGCCUUGAGCAGCCUCUCCUCCACAGCCAAGGAGACGGUCAGCAGCUUAGGGGACACUGAAGUGGUCAAGACUGCCAGGGAGUGGUUAAACUAUGGGAUAGAGUUCCUGAUUCCCUACUAUGAAACGCUGCAGGAAAAGGCCACAGAUGUUUUGGAAAAAUACAAACCCAAACCUGUAUAAACACACAUUGCUAUAUUUUUGUUAAACAUGUAAUUAAUAAAGGUAUAACUGGUUUAGGA